rnacentral:rRNA from 1 species
UAAAACGUAGGACGCAAGCGUUAUCCGGAAUUACUGGGCGUAAAGCGCGCGCAGGCGGUUAUACAAGUCACUUGUGAAAGCUCAUGGCUAAACUGUGAGAGGUGAGGUGAGACUGUAUGACUAGAGAUUGCUAGAGGUAUGUGGAAUUCCGCGUGUAGUGGUGAAAUGCGUAGAGAUGCGGAGGAACACCAGUGGCGAAGGCGGCAUACUGGGGCAAUACUGACGCUGAGGCGCGAAAGCAUGGGUAGCGAACGGGA